rnacentral:rRNA from 1 species
UACGUAGGGGGCAAGCGUUGUCCGGAAUUAUUGGGCGUAAAGAGCUCGUAGGCGGCUUAGUAAGUCGGCGGUGAAAUACCGAGGCUCAACCUCGGCACUGCCGUCGAUACUGCUAUGGCUAGAGUUUGGUAGAGGAGAACGGAAUUCCCGGUGUAGCGGUGGAAUGCGCAGAUAUCAGGAGGAACACCGGUGGCGAAGGCGGGUCUCUGGGCCGAUACUGACGCUGAGGAGCGAAAGCGUGGGGAGCGAACAGG